UGGAAAUUGUCUAAAAUGCAGGUUGCGGGUUGCGGGUUGCGGGUUGCAGGUUGCGGGUUGCGGGUUGCCACAAGGGGAUAAGCAUGGAAUGGUGUAAUCUACAUACUUUUACUUGUUUCACUUGUUAUAACAAUUUUAUGAUCAAUGUUAAAGGCAUGGUAUUUAAUUACAAUACACAUCAUUCUUGUGUAAAUAAACUUACACCUAAAAAUAGAAAUCUAUCAAUUUACAUUAAUUACAAUAUCUUGAUGGGUUUAUGUAAUAUUAUACACACCUUUUCGUAUGAAAAAA
rnacentral:lncRNA from 1 species